UACGGGGGGGGCAAGCGUUGUUCGGAAUUACUGGGCGUAAAGGGCUCGUAGGUGGCCAACUAAGUCAGACGUGAAAUCCCUCAGCUUAACUGGGGAACUGCGUCUGAUACUGGAUGGCUUGAGUUUGGGAGAGGGAUGCGGAAUUCCAGGUGUAGCGGUGAAAUGCGUAGAUAUCAGAAGGAACAUCAGUGGCGAAAGCGGCUUCCUGGACCAGAACUGACGAUCAGGCACGAAAGCGUGGGGAGCAAACAGG
rnacentral:rRNA from 1 species